GGGUUUGGGGAUAUAUAUAUUAACUACAUACACCUGACCCCAAUAGGAGUAUUAGAACUGGUAGGGACAUAUUCAGAGAUAUUUGGACACUGGCAUAAUCACAAACCAAUCAUGAUUACAUAAAGGAGGGAUGAUGGAUUUGGGAUUCACAAAAUAGUAAGUGCACAGAAUACAAUUGUCCAAGCAUGUGUGAAUCACA
rnacentral:lncRNA from 1 species